CAUACCUGUUCGAGCGUCAUUACACCUCUCAAACCCAGGUUUGAUGUUGGGCAUUGCUGUUAGGGCAUGCCUAAAAAUUAGCGAUGGUAACCUACAACCACAGGCGCACAGAUGUCGCAAUGAUGGAAGUUGGCCACCAGUCUUAAACUAAAUUUCUGAAUGUUGACCUCGGAUCAGGUAGGGAUACCCGCUGAACUUAA
rnacentral:misc_RNA from 1 species